UUGGGCACUUAUGACACUUAUAAAAAAGCGCAUCAAAAGGCAAACAAAACCAAAAGUACAAACAUUCUUACUUCUAAUAAUGAAGAGUUGAAAGAGAAAAGAAAACGUAAUACAAAAACUAAAAAACGCAAUAACAAAUCUGAAAGUGAAUCGUCCUUCUCUGAAAUAGAUAGAUCAUCAUCAGAUGAUGAUGCACUAUAUCCUGACGUUCCAAAUUUUAACGAACAAAUUGACUCAAACAAUAGAAAGAAAAAUCAAAUAGAAAAUAACACUCAUAAGUUCAAAGUUACUGUUGAUACUAUUUCUAAUUCUGGUACUAGUACUUCUAUUUCUAAUAUUGUUGAGUCAUAUCAUAAAAACCCGGCUUUGGAAUUAAAUUCUGAAUUUGGAAAACGGAUUUGUAGAGAAUUACACAUUCUCAGUUUGAAAAUGGAUGAUAUUUUCGAAGGUAUUAAUGUUCUACUAAAAAUAAAGCAGAUCUAGUACAAAAUGUUGUAUGUAAUGAAAUUCCCGAAAUUAUGCAAUCAUUUCCUGUAAAUGAUAAUUCUUUGGCUGAAUUGGAGAACUGGUUAAUGACAUCUGAAAAUAAUAAAACAAUUUUGUCUCAAAAUUUAAGUCGCAUUGAAGGAUGUACCGUUAAAGAAAUCGUUCAAAGAAUUAUGUAUCGCAUUUUUACCUACGAAGUCGGUAUGUCUUACUCAUGGAAAGGGGCAAAGAAAAAGAAAGUUUUCAAAAUUUAGCUGUAACGUCUGUAAUUCUCUGGCAUAUUAUCAAGAUUCAACUAAUAUGCAUUCUUUAGAAAGGGAUUCGAUACAAAGGGAACGAGAUUCAAGUAACAUGCCUUUAGGGAAUACUAAAUAUUAUAAAGUGCGUAUUCUC